rnacentral:rRNA from 1 species
CAGAACGAACGCUGGCGGCGCGUCUUAAGCAUGCAAGUCGAGCGGUAACAAGGUGCUUGCACCUUGAAUAGAGCGGCGGACUGGUGAGUAACGCGUGGGUGACCUACCCUAAGGUUGGGGAUAGCCGAUAGAAAUAUCGGGUAAUACCGAAUAAGCUUGUUAUACUUUGGUGUGAUAAGGAAAGGUGCGUUUGCACCGCCAUAGGAUGGGCCCGCGUCCCAUUAGCUAGUUGGUAAGGUAAAGGCCUACCAAGGCAAUGAUGGGUAGCCGGCCUGAGAGGGUGAACGGCCACAUUGGGACUGAGAUACGGCCCAAACUCCUACGGGAGGCAGCAGCUAAGAAUAUUCCGCAAUGGACGAAAGUCUGACGGAGCGACGCCGCGUGGAUGAAGAAGGCCGAAAGGUUGUAAAAUCCUUUUGCUACUGAAGAAUAAUCUGGCAGGAAAUGGCCAAGAGAUGACGUAGUAGC